GGAGGAGUGGCAGAGCGGUUGAUUGCACCGGUCUUGAAAACCGGCGUACGUGAAAGCGUACCGUGGGUUCGAAUCCCACCUCCUCCGCCA
rnacentral:tRNA from 1 species